AUACCCCACUAUCCUGUCCACAAGAACCUGUGUGAAUUCCAAAAUAUAUGCAGUUAUAAAGGGGCUUAUUUAAAUUAUAUCUAGAAUGCAAGACUGAAAUUCCCAAAAAUGAGUUGUACUGUACAUAUUUAAAAAAUAUAUAUUAGUUUCAAAAAUAUUUAUUAAAUGUUGUAUUCUAUACUUGCAGGUAUUUGCGUUGCACUUCAUUAUACCACACUGAUGGCUUCUCCAAGAUUAUAGAUAUGAUACAUGUAAACAGGCACAGUUACUUGUCAUCACAAGGAUAAGAAUUCAAAUACCAAAGUAGUCCUAACUCCUAAAUCAUCCCGAUUUGUCAAAAGUACAUAGAGCUGUAGCUGAUGGACACAAAUUGUUCAGAAAAAAUCCAGUUACCAUACUAAUCACAGCCAUAGAUUUCUGGCAUGCCUUCAGAAGGAACAUAGAUGCAAUGAUGAAACAUUAUCUCCAAACAUAUGGGUGGCCCUUGAACAGAGAU